AUGUGUGUACUUUUGCCUAGCCGUGGCCUUUGCCAGCUGUGUCGUAGGGAGCCGGAGUCCGCGGCGCACCUUCUCUUCAAGUGUAGAUACUCCUUAUGGGUGCGGGAGGCCGUGAAGGAGUGGCUUGGCGGCUCGGAGUUGCGUCUUAACCAUUGGGGUGGUAUGCCUUUGGUGCAUGCUUGGUGAAAUGUCGUAGUGCUCACCCAGGGUCACAAGAGGAAAGUUAUUGUCACCACACUCAUGCUUGUGGCGUGGGCCCUAUAGAACGAGAGGAACAUGCAGGUUUUUCGCAACAAGUCUACACUACCUUCCAUCAUCUUCACACAUGUUAGGGCCGAAGCUGGGUUGUGGGUGAUCGCCGGUGCGAAGCACCUGGGUUCUAUUAUGCCGCGAGAGUAG
rnacentral:rRNA from 1 species